GCAGGCGCUGGAACCACUGAGCUAAAUCCCCAGCCCAGACACAAGGAGAAUAGCGCCAACGACCCUCUCCUGAUUUAGUGCGAGAAAACCCGCAAGCAUCUAUUCCGUGCAAUAACAGAGAGGAUAGCCGUCACCAUGGCAACGGACAGCUCGGGAAGACAACCGCCCAGGCUCUCGGACUUCUCCGGGCGCCGAUUUUCCUCAGGAUAUGGCAACGAUUUCCAGGAGGCUCGCACACGACUUGUUUCAAUUAUUCUUCCAAGAACCGCCUUUCAUGAACAGACCUGGCUGGGGAUAGGAACUCAGGGCUCCAGUAAAGUAGAAUUAAAAAAAAAAAAUCAGUUCUCCUGAAAGCAGUCUAACAGCUCUCCCUUUCCCGUAACUGCUGGCCUCCCCCGGUACUGAGAAGGUAGACGGUCUCAUUCCUGUAAGCGAAGUUUUGUGACCCCUGAGGAGCCAUAUGCUCUGUAAACAACUAUGUUCUGUAAAC
rnacentral:lncRNA from 1 species